rnacentral:snRNA from 1 species
GUGCUCGCUUGGGCAGCACGUAUACUAAAAUUGGAAUGAUACAGAGAAGAUUAGCACGGCCCUGUGCAAGGAUGACACGCGAAUUCGUGAAGCGUUACAUAUUAAA